rnacentral:rRNA from 1 species
GAUGAACGCUGGCGGCGUGCCUAAUACAUGCAAGUCGAGCGAAUGGAUUAAGAGCUUGCUCUUAUGAAGUUAGCGGCGGACGGGUGAGUAACACGUGGGUAACCUGCCCAUAAGACUGGGAUAACUCCGGGAAACCGGGGCUUAUUCCGGAUCACAUUUUGAACCGCUAGGUUCCAAAUUGAAAGGCGGCGUCGGCUGUCACUUAUGGAUGGACCCGGGUCGCAUUAGCUAGUUGGUGAGGUAACGGCUCACCAAGGCAACGAUGCGUAGCCGACCUGAGAGGGUGAUCGGCCACACUGGGACUGAGACACGGCCCAGACUCCUACGGGAGGCAGCAGUAGGGAAUCUUCCGCAAUGGACGAAAGUCUGACGGAGCAACGCCGCGUGAGUGAUGAAGGCUUUCGGGUCGUAAAACUCUGUUGUUAGGGAAGAACAAGUGCUAGUUGAAUAAGCUGGCACCUUGACGGUACCUAACCAGAAAGCCACGGCUAACUACGUGCCAGCAGCCGCCGUAA